GAUCAUGGCUCAGGACGAACGCUGGCGGCGUGCCUAACACAUGCAAGUCGAACGGAGAUAAAGAUUUCGGUUUUUAUCUUAGUGGCGCACGGGUGAGUAACACGUGAAUAACCUGACCCAAAGAGGGGGAUAACACCUGGAAACAGGUGCUAAUACCGCAUAAGACCACAAUGUCGCGUGACGAAGGGGUCAAAGAAAAUCGCUUUGGGAGGGGUUCGCGUCCCAUUAGGUAGUAGGCGGGGUAACAGCCCACCUAGCCGACGA
rnacentral:rRNA from 1 species